rnacentral:rRNA from 1 species
CACGUAGUUAGCCGUGACUUUCUGGUUGAUUACCGGCAAAUAAUGAGCAGUUACUCUCACUAUCUUUCUUCACCAACAACAGAGCUUUACGAUCCGAAAACCUUCUUCACUCACGCGGCGUUGCUCCAUCAGACUUGCGUCCAUUGUGGAAGAUUCCCUACUGCUGCCUCCCGUAGGAGUUUGGGCCGUGUCUCAGUCCCAAUGUGGCCGAUCAGUCUCUCAACUCGGCUAUGCAUCGUUGCCUUGGUAAGCCGUUACCUUACCAACUAGCUAAUGCACCGCGGGUCCAUCCUUUAGCGACAGCUUACGCCGCCUUUCAAAAAGAAUCAUGUGAUCUCUCCUUUAUCCGGUAUUAGCACCUGUUCCAAGUGGUAUCCCAGACUAUAGGGUAGUUACCCAGUGUUACUCACCCAUCCCGCCGCUCGCUUCCCUAACUUCAUACCCGAAGGUAAUCAAUUGUUCGGCUCGCUCGACUUGCAUGUAUUAGGCACGCCGCAGCGUUCG